AUUGAACGCUGGCGGCAUGCCUUACACAUGCAAGUCGAACGGCAGCACGGAGCUUGCUCUGGUGGCGAGUGGCGAACGGGUGAGUAAUAUAUCGGAACGUACCCUAGAGUGGGGGAUAACGUAGCGAAAGUUACGCUAAUACCGCAUACGAUCUAAGGAUGAAAGUGGGGGAUCGCAAGACCUCAUGCUCGUGGAGCGGCCGAUAUCUGAUUAGCUAGUUGGUAGGGUAAAAGCCUACCAAGGCAUCGAUCAGUAGCUGGUCUGAGAGGACGACCAGCCACACUGGAACUGAGACACGGUCCAGACUCCUACGGGAGGCAGCAGUGGGGAAUUUUGGACAAUGGGCGAAAGCCUGAUCCAGCAAUGCCGCGUGAGUGAAGAAGGCCUUCGGGUUGUAAAGCUCUUUUGUCAGGGAAGAAACGGUGAGAGCUAAUAUCUCUUGCUAAUGACGGUACCUGAAGAAUAAGCACCGGCUAACUACGUGCCAGCAGCCGCGGUAAUACGUAGGGUGCAAGCGUUAAUCGGAAUUACUGGGCGUAAAGCGUGCGCAGGCGGUUUUGUAAGUCUGAUGUGAAAUCCCCGGGCUCAACCUGGGAAUUGCAUUGGAGACUGCAAGGCUAGAAUCUGGCAGAGGGGGGUAGAAUUCCACGUGUAGCAGUGAAAUGCGUAGAUAUGUGGAGGAACACCGAUGGCGAAGGCAGCCCCCUGGGUCAAGAUUGACGCUCAUGCACGAAAGCGUGGGGAGCAAACAGGAUUAGAUACCCUGGUAGUCCACGCCCUAAACGAUGUCUACUAGUUGUCGGGUCUUAAUUGACUUGGUAACGCAGCUAACGCGUGAAGUAGACCGCCUGGGGAGUACGGUCGCAAGAUUAAAACUCAAAGGAAUUGACGGGGACCCGCACAAGCGGUGGAUGAUGUGGAUUAAUUCGAUGCAACGCGAAAAACCUUACCUACCCUUGACAUGGCUGGAAUCCUCGAGAGAUUGAGGAGUGCUCGAAAGAGAACCAGUACACAGGUGCUGCAUGGCUGUCGUCAGCUCGUGUCGUGAGAUGUUGGGUUAAGUCCCGCAACGAGCGCAACCCUUGUCAUUAGUUGCUACGAAAGGGCACUCUAAUGAGACUGCCGGUGACAAACCGGAGGAAGGUGGGGAUGACGUCAAGUCCUCAUGGCCCUUAUGGGUAGGGCUUCACACGUCAUACAAUGGUACAUACAGAGCGCCGCCAACCCGCGAGGGGGAGCUAAUCGCAGAA
rnacentral:rRNA from 1 species